rnacentral:rRNA from 1 species
AGCUUGCUUCUCUUGAGAGCGGCGGACGGGUGAGUAAUGCCUAGGAAUCUGCCUGGUAGUGGGGGAUAACGUUCGGAAACGGACGCUAAUACCGCAUACGUCCUACGGGAGAAAGCAGGGGACCUUCGGGCCUUGCGCUAUCAGAUGAGCCUAGGUCGGAUUAGCUAGUUGGUGGGGUAAUGGCUCACCAAGGCGACGAUCCGUAACUGGUCUGAGAGGGUGAUCAGUCACACUGGAACUGAGACACGGUCCAGACUCCUACGGGAGGCAGCAGUGGGGAAUAUUGGACAAUGGGCGAAAGCCUGAUCCAGCCAUGCCGCGUGUGUGAAGAAGGUCUUCGGAUUGUAAAGCACUUUAAGUUGGGAGGAAGGGUUGUAGAUUAAUACUCUGCAAUUUUGACGUUACCGACAGAAUAAGCACCGGCUAACUCUGUGCCAGCAGCCGCGGUAAUACAGAGGGUGCAAGCGUUAAUCGGAAUUACUGGGCGUAAAGCGCGCGUAGGUGGUUUGUUAAGUUGGAUGUGAAAUCCCCGGGCUCAACCUGGGAACUGCAUUCAAAACUGACUGACUAGAGUAUGGUAGAGGGUGGUGGAAUUUCCUGUGUAGCGGUGAAAUGCGUAGAUAUAGGAAGGAACACCAGUGGCGAAGGCGACCACCUGGACUAAUACUGACACUGAGGUGCGAAAGCGUGGGGAGCAAACAGGA